rnacentral:rRNA from 1 species
GACGAACGCUGGCGGCGUGCUUAACACAUGCAAGUCGAACGGAAAGGCCCUGCUUUUGUGGGGUGCUCGAGUGGCGAACGGGUGAGUAACACGUGAGUAACCUGCCCUUGACUUUGGGAUAACUUCAGGAAACUGGGGCUAAUACCGGAUAGGAGCUCCUGCUGCAUGGUGGGGGUGGGAAAGUUUCGGCGGUUGGGGAUGGACUCGCGGCUUAUCAGCUUGUUGGUGGGGGAGUGGCUUACCAAGGCUUUGACGGGUAGCCGGCCUGAGAGGGUGACCGGCCACAUUGGGACUGAGAUACGGCCCAGACUCCUACGGGAGGCAGCAGUGGGGAAUAUUGCACAAUGGGCGGAAGCCUGAUGCAGCAACGCCGCGUGCGGGAUGACGGCCUUCGGGUUGUAAACCGCUUUCGCCUGUGACGAAGCGUGAGUGACGGUAAUGGGUAAAGAAGCACCGGCUAACUACGUG